rnacentral:lncRNA from 1 species
UUCAAUCUAGCUCUGAUACCAGAUGAAGAAAAAAAUCCGAUCCGUAUUGGAUGAUCAGGAAGAAGGAGAAUAUAUUUCAUAUUUAAAAUUUUCAUAACUCUCACGAAAGUUACCUUGAUAUGUAGUAGAAAUAUGAUAAUCAAGAUAGAAGAGUUCUUAAAGCCUAAUACUUUACGAGAUCUGGAUGCAUAGAUCCUCUACUUCGCAUGUACGCCAAGCACCGCAGGAAAGAAGGAUGAAGACUUAAGGGACUUCUUCAGAAGGAAA